UUCACUUUUGGCUUAACCAAAAAAAAAUCUUGCUUUGGGCUAGGUUCUAAAAAGCAGAGAGAAUUCCGUGCCUCCUGUUAUGUUGCCCGACGUAAUCCAAGAGCUGGAGAUGUUUAUGAUCAGAACAAGAAGAGAGGCAGUCGGGGCCAUCAGAGAUGCUGGGCAUUAGGAAAGCCGUGAGGUGAGCUCUGUGAUCAUGCGAAUGUCUGGUGUACAGCAGGGAACCCCUUCAGCAGAAACGGACAUCAAGCCAUCAAGAGGUGGCCUGCUGGGUGACUCAGAAGCUCACCUGGUGAGGGCUUCCACACUUCCAGACUCAGAAGGUUGGCUUCUCAUCUUUGGCUUGUUCAGUUCUGGUUAUGAAUGAUUGCCGUCACCCUGGAAAUUAUGGCCUCACAUAGAGAUAUGCAAAAGCAGGAAGAUAAGGCACUGUUUGGCAGGAGCCGUUAUUAUCCCCAUCUUAUGGACGAAGCAGCAGAAGCUUGGUGAGGUGAGAGAUCGUGCGAUAUGUGGCGAGGGUGGGAGAUUUGACCAUGGGAUCCUCUUCCUUGAGUGAUUUUGGGAAGGGGCAGGGAAGAGGUGUCUCUCCUUCCCUGAGGCCACUUGUCCCACCCACAGGAUGGGUGGAGCCUAUAGAACAGUCAUAAGGUUAAGAAAUAAAAGCUGAGUUCAAAAAGUUUUUAUGCUAUUAAAAACACAACAGCCUUAUUUUGCAAUUCUAUAUCUCCGGUUACAAAAUGAUUACCUAAAAUUAGUUAAUAUUAACCUUUUGGAGAUAAUAUUAUCAUGUUUAAAUUACUUUGCAAUUAUCCAAUUAAGUUCGCUUCUAAAUGGUGCCUCUAAUUAGCCAGGGCGAUAAGUUGACUGAGAUCUUUGAAAUCUUAGGUAGCAGAGUCCAUAGUGACAGCCAAAGUCCCCACAAAGGUGGCAGCUGCUGUCCCCACAAAGGGAAAACAGUACGGAGAACCAGACAGCCUCCCUCAGGCUCCUGGAGGAAAAACUUCAUUGGGUGCAGCGGCUCACGCCUGUAAUCCCAGCACUUUGGGAGGGUGAGACAGGCAGAUCACCUGAGGUCAGGAGUUC